UACGGAAGGCAGCAGUGGGGAAUAUUGCACAAUGGGCGAAAGCCUGAUGCAGCUAUGCCGCGUGUAUGAAGAAGGCCUUAGGGUUGUAAAGUACUUUCAUCGGGGAGGAAAAACAAAACUAAUAAUUUUAUUUCUUGACGUUACCCGAAAAAGAAGCACCGGCUAACUCCGUGCCAGCAGCCGCGGUAAUACGGAGGGUGCUAGCGUUAAUCAGAAUUACUGGGCGUAAAGAGCACGUAGGUGGUUUUUUUAAGUCAGAUGUGAAAUCCCUGGGCUUAACCUGGAACUGCAUUUUGAAACUGAAAUACUAGAGUAUCGUAGAGGGAGGUAGAAUUCUAGGUGUAGCGGUGAAAUGCGUAGAUAUCUGGAGGAAUACCUGUGGCGAAAGCGGCCUCCUAAACGAAUACUGACACUGAGGUGCGAAAGCGUGGGGAGCGAAAC
rnacentral:rRNA from 1 species